GUUUUAUUUUACACUUACAGUUCUAUGUGCGCACGCACAAAACUCAGUCUGCGCGUAUAACUACCGUCCUGCACACACACGAAACUCGGUCUGCUACGCUUACAAAUAAAUCUGCUCUCUGCGCUGGACAAUUUUGACAGUGUUUUCUCACAUAAAUAAAUAAAUAAAUAAAAUUUAAAAAAAUGUUAAAAAGCGCGUAGGUCAGGCAUCCUAGCUGAUUGUCGGCACUAUCGAUACGACAUACAGAUCAAACAUGGCUGACGUUUCAACAUCGACCGGUUCAUCGCCUCAAGGAUUACAUAUCAAUGUUUUUAUUAAAAAAAUAAAUAAAAAAAAAAAAAAAAGUUUCUUAUGCUUACCAUAACAGAGCCGCAUUUAUUUCUUACAUUGUAUUUUGUAGGUGGACCAUAAUCAGUAGUUAAGCAUUGUUAAUAUUGUAGACGUCUCAGAUAUAAAUACUGCUCAAAACCUAAUAACAGCAAUAAAUAGUACUGCAGACUCCCAAGUCAUGCACAGCAUCGCAAGACAGGGAGAGGUACAGCCACAGCAACAGAAACACAGACAGCGACAAGAACAAACGGGUCAUUCCCAGCUCUUUUUCGGAAGGGGUUGAAAGGGAUUUUCACCAUUAAAGCCAAGGAGUGUGCCGAAGUGUGUCAUGAAUCUUUUUUACUUGCUCCCAAGAAGCACAGACUGAACACUAAAAGGAGCAGAAGAACUAAAACUGAUACAGGAUGGACUAGAAAAAAGGUCCAUAUCCAUCUCUGAAGAUAUAGCCCACGCUGAGUUGUCAAGCUUGCUGUGUGAAGAAUUCCCCAAAAUGAAAUGCCUGUCAGGUGGCUGGCAGCUGAAUAAAGCAGCAGGGGGCAGUGGAUAGAGGUCACUUGUAUUUAUUCUGUCAGAAUCAGAAGGGAAGCUGCAAGUGGAGGUGGCAAAAAUUGUAUUAUACAUCGUUCCUCUACAAGAAGAAAUCGACACCACAACAUUACCACUAAAUUCCAAGGAAUUUGUAAAAAUGCCGAAAGCAGUUUGCACAAAAUGCAACGAUGAAAUGCCCUUGCAAGUCCUGGCAGUUCACAUCAACUCCUGCAGUUGUAAAAAUAAUUACAGUGACAGUGAUUCCAGCAGUGAUGGCAUAAUGAUAAGUUCUGAUGACAAAAUGGCAUGUCAGCCUGAAGUCAUUUUUGUGUCAGAGGCAAUGAACCCCCAGGAAAUGCCAUACAAAGAGACAUAGGUUGAGUGCCCAAUUUGCCAGAAGAGCUACCCCCUAGACCUUCUUGAGAUGCAUGCCAGUAACUGUGGAGUAAGCACAUGACCCGACUCGACCUCGCCCUCUAGCUGAACUGGCGUGUCCCCUCGAAGAACUCCCUCUGCUCGGUGGUCCUGUGAUUCGCCCUAGCUACUCAACUUCUCGGACCGCUGAUUCGGCAAGACUGCGCACAGCAGAACGGGUGCCCACCUCAGUGGGAGCUGGGGUAAUCGCUUCCAGUUCUCUUGUUAUUUUGCGCAGAAAUUCGGCAUGCAACGCAACCACCUCUUCAUGCUGUUGAUCAGCGUGGUCCAGCCUUUCCAAGAGUUAACCAUUUGUUUAAUAUUAUCUACACACUUUAAAAUAAGAUAAUUCAGACAAUAACUUUAUUAACAACAUUUAGCACGUGUAUUUCACAUAGGCUACUCAAAGCACUAUACAAAACAGUAAAAUAACUACAAACGGAAAGUAUAUACAUACUCUAUCACAUAAACGGCAAAAGCCAUCUCAAGUGCGUUUUUAAGCUACAUUACAAAAAAAAAACACAUAAACUCGUAUGUAUGGGGGAACAUCUUUCAUAAUCUGUUUUAAUCUAUGGAUACGCUACAGGUAAAGAUAAUAAAUUGUGCACAAUACAAUAUUUCACUUUCCGAACAUUAUGAUUAGGAUACUUACAAGGUUGCUGAACAGCUUCAGCAGCUGGUAGUUCGGGAGGAGGAGGAACAGGCAGCAGAGCUUGACCCCCCUGGCUAUCGCCUUCCUCCCGCUGCCCCACAUGUUGUUGAUCGUCAGUCAACGGGACUCGCUCAUCAACCAAGUUGUCUUGCAUGGACUUAGGUGACACAGCUGGUCCCGGACAUGAGGCAGCGGUAGAACUACCUGGCUGGUCUUCACCUGUACAGUUACAUAAUUAGAAUAUCAGUAAUUAACAGCUGGUCUGUUUUUAAGCUAUGUAAACAUAUUAUUAGAAUGCCCUCUAUCCCCAUAUAGAUUUCCAUAUUUUACAAUUGCAGCAUAGUUUAGUUUAGCAAAGUAAAUGAUGGCUGGCGCAAUUACCCUAUUGUAUUUAUUGGAGCUGGUAUUUCACAGGACGUCUGGGAGGAUGAGGAUUCCAGCAAAUGGUCCAAUGCUACAGCCACUGGCUGGUCACCCAUUAACUGGUGCAUUUCCUUCCAGAAUUGAAAUUGGGACCUCGAGCUUUGACCGGAGGACUGCAGACAUUUUCUCUCCUGCAGCAGCAGCCAGCCCCAGGCGAUGCGGAGCAGCAGGCAGCCCCUUGGCUAUCCAGACAUGGCAUCCCUGAGCGGGGCGGGCGUGGCAUCCCAGAAUAAAGAGGGCAUGGCAUCCCUGAGCGGUGCAAGGCAGGGAUCCCUGGGCGGUGGAGGCGGAAUCAGCAGGUAUUCUCCCUCUGCUGGUGUUUACCUCGGCUGUGGACGUUCGGCCUUCCCCCUCUUGGGUUGUGGAAACACCGACUCCUCCUCUUUGGCUGUGGAUGCACCGACUCCCCCCUCUUUGGCUGUGGAUGCACUGACUGCCCCCUCUUGGGCUGUGGACGUUCAGGCUCCUCUCUCUUAGGCGCACAACAUUCGGGCUCCUCUCUCUUAGGCGCACAACGUUCAGGCUCCUCUCUCAGGCGCAGGAUAGGGUGAUUUAUUGGACCACACCCUGAUUACUCUGUAUCCUGAAGCUAGAUCUGCAGGCAGUGACAUGCACAGGGGUGCCCUUAUGCCCGAAAAGUGCCCUUUUUCGCAGUUAUGCAACGCUUGAAAAGUGCCCUUUUUUCUCAAUGAGCCCCUGCCUUUUUAAUGUCCUCUGCACAUUACUUUCUACAGAUGUACUAAUAUGAGCGUCACACGCAAUAAAAUAAAAAAUAAAACCUGCUGAAACAUUUUAGGUUUAUACACCAUUAAAGUUCUUUAAGUCAUAUCUAAUGCAUAUAUAUAGUACUCAAGGCUUUGUGGAGACAAGAUGGAUUUAAAAGGAUUGUAGGUAACAAAAUAAUUCCCUAAGUUUGUCACAUCAUGCACAUCCAUAUAUUUUCUUUUUUUUUUUUUGCCAUUGUGUAUAUUCCAGUUAAAGCAGGAUAUUUGGUUCCACAUAAAGGCCUUGCUUUCAGAUAUUCUUGAACUUCAUUAGGCAUUCCACCACUCCUAGUAAGUAAUGGGGUUCUGAAAAAUACAGUUUUACACGUUU